rnacentral:tRNA from 1 species
GAGCCAUUAGCUCAGUUGGUAGAGCAUCUGACUUUUAAUCAGAGGGUCGAAGGUUCGAGUCNAAAUCAUGGCGGU